CUGAGUCAGGGGUUCACCUGUAGAAAUUGGCGUAGUCGGCAGGAUUGUGGUAUUGGUUCACAUACAGCAACAUGAAGCCUUUCAUGAUAGAUAUGGAUUUUAGUGGUAUGGAGAAAGGGUUUGCCCAAGAAGGUUGGGGCAACCCAAAAUGGGAUAGAGAAAUGUUAGAAAAGGAUUGGGGAAAUCCUGAGGAGUUGUGGGUGCAGUUCUGUAAGUAUAGAGCUGCCUGCAAGCUAAAGAAUGGGACAAAUCCUGAGUCUGUGGAAAGGAGACACUUUCCAUUUAGCAAGGAAAACAGGAUCAGGCCCAGGCAAGCAGGCAGAAAAAGGAAAACAGGAUCAGGCCCAGACAAGCAGGCAGGUAAAAGAUAAGAUUGAAAGCCUUGUGGUAGAAACUGAGAAAAAGGCAGUAAGUACUGGAAAUCUAAGUCCUUAAGCAUACUUACAAGAGUAAUAUCUGAAACAAGGCCAGUUUUUAUUUUAGAGAUAAGAAAGUGUUUUAAGAAAAGAGAAUCAGAGAAUUUAAACUCUGCAGAGAAUGGAGAGCAAAUGCAGUUGUGCAAAUGCUAAAAUGGUGUAGAUAGGAAACUGUGGUUUCUUUACAGUCAUUCUGAAGGAAAAAUGGGCCCUUUUUCCAAAGGAAUGUCUGUAAAUAAUCCAGGCAAAUUUGAUUCAAAUCUGUACAUUUGAUUAGAGAGACUGCUAAAAGAACUCUAAAAGGGAGGGGGGUUCUAUUGGAACUGAACUAUCCCAAUGAAUAAAAAGGGAAUGUAAUUGUUGUACAGCUAUGUAGAAAUAGUGUAAGAAAGAGUUACACUAUAUGCAAAGUUUAAUGUGGCUAAGUAGUGUUGUAAACAAAGAUUGCACAUUUUCCUGUAAACUAUAAAAUGAGC